GGGGGUGAACGGUCUCGACGGGGGUCGCCGAGGGCGAGCCUGCGCGCCGAGGUGCGGGUGGCCUCGUUAAAACCCGCAAACCCACAAAGGCCAACAAGCCUGCUUACGCGCUCGCGGCCUAAUCGCCGCGCCCUCGCCUGGAAGCCCCGCCGGUGGCUCGCCAGUGCGGGGACACAAAACCGGCUAGCCUGGGGCCACGCCCUCUAACCCUGGGCGAAACCCAAGGGGGCUUGCCCCUGGCCGCCCGUCCGCGGGCCAAGCCAGGGGGACACCUGAAACGCGGACUACGCGCGUAGACGGCCGCUGUAGGGACCUUCGGACGGGGGUUCAACUCCCCCCACCUCCACCA
rnacentral:tmRNA from 1 species